GAGUUUGAUCGUGGCUCAGAUUGAACGCUGGCGGCAGGCCUAACACAUGCAAGUCGAGCGGUAGAGAGAAGCUUGCUUCUCUUGAGAGCGGCGGACGGGUGAGUAAUGCCUAGGAAUCUGCCUGGUAGUGGGGGAUAACGCUCGGAAACGGACGCUAAUACCGCAUACGUCCUACGGGAGAAAGCAGGGGACCUUCGGGCCUUGCGCUAUCAGAUGAGCCUAGGUCGGAUUAGCUAGUUGGUGAGGUAAUGGCUCACCAAGGCGACGAUCCGUAACUGGUCUGAGAGGAUGAUCAGUCACACUGGAACUGAGACACGGUCCAGACUCCUACGGGAGGCAGCAGUGGGGAAUAUUGGACAAUGGGCGAAAGCCUGAUCCAGCCAUGCCGCGUGUGUGAAGAAGGUCUUCGGAUUGUAAAGCACUUUAAGUUGGGAGGAAGGGCAGUAAAUUAAUACUUUAGCUGUUUUGACGUUACCGACAGAAUAAAGCACCGGCUAACUCUGUGCCAGCCGCCG
rnacentral:rRNA from 1 species